rnacentral:lncRNA from 1 species
UGAUGAUGAUUGUCUUAACAUGUAUUUCUAAUCACUUUAAAACCUCACUGUGAUAGAUUUGCUUGUUCUUUGUACUUUUGUGGUACAAUCUAAUAGAUUUUUUUCUUUGAGGUUUACUCUAUUUUUAGAUAUUAAAAGUAUUUUAAACUGAAAUGAUGACUCAUACGUGGAUAUAAGAAAAUAAAAAGCAGCUCUGUUUCCUACAUUUUUUACUGCUUUUUACUCUCCCAAUUUUUAUGUCUUUUCAUCAAUUCUGCAAUAGACAGAGAUUAAUAGUAGCACUUGCAGUUUUCGCUGAGACAUAUCCAGUUCACUGAAGACCCACUUUAGUGUUUUGGGAGGAAAAAACAAGUCUUUUCUGAAAUAAUGAGUUCAAGAUUGAUUUGAGGUUUAGGAAGACUUUUAGCAAACUCAAUCGCUCAGGAGCUGAUUCUCAGCUUAUCAGUAAUCACAUCCUUUCCUAUUCCCUUCUGCAGACAAUAUCUGACUAUUUUCAGGCUUGUUAGAAGGGAGAGUAAGAGGAAGUUUAGUUCUAGAUCAUCUAUUUUUUUUUCCCUGUAAGUAAGUUGCUUUGAUAUAAGAUUUGGUGGUGGUAAUCAGUUGCUUAAAUGAUAUCCUAAAAUAAUCUCCAGCUCAUUUAAUAACUGCCUUCACUAAAUUUUUAUUAAUGGUUUUGUUUUAGUUUUAAGCUCUUUUAAGUCUUUUUCAGGCCUUCUUUAACUCCGUCCUGACAAGUGUGGUUUUGAAUACUGAUUUCUGUCUUUGACUUGACUUUUAGUAUAUUUAAGUGGUGUGAGUUUUGGAUAAGUUUCCUUUUAAAAUGAUCCCACAAAAUAUAGAGAGAAGCAAUUCUCCUGCCUCAGCCUCCUAAGGAGCUAUUUUUUGUAUUUUAGUAGAGACAGGGUUUCACCGUGUUGGUCAGGCUGGUCUCGAACUCCUGACCUCAAGUGAUCCACCCGCCUUGGCCUCCCAAAGUGCUGGGAUUACAGGUGUGAGCCACCGUGCCCAGCUAGAUUCUUUACUUUUUAAUAAAGUUCAAAAUAGCUUUUAAUAAGGUUGUCAAAUUUGACCAAAAUUUCAUAGAAGUCCAAAAUAUUAUGCCUCUUUCUGUAGAUCAAAUGAAAUAUGGCCCAAUUUACAAGGGUAUACACCUUCAUGGUAGAUGAAUAUAGAUUUUAAACUAGUUUUAAAAGGAAUAUGAAUGAUUUAAUUGUAGUUUCUGCUGCCAAAAAGUCUCCAUAAUUAUUUUUUAAUAACUUAUAACUACCUUGAUCUUUACCUGUACACACACACACACACACACAUGCACAGAGUAAUUUCACUUAGAAUCCUGGUCAAAAAUUUUCUUCCACUUAAAUUUUUUUUAAGACUCUCACAAAUAUACAUCAUGGUUUUCUUUAGUCGGC